CCUACGGGAGGCAGCAGUGGGGAAUAUUGGACAAUGGGGGAAACCCUGAUCCAGCAAUGCCGCGUGAGUGAUGAAGGCCUUAGGGUCGUAAAGCUCUUUUACCAGGGGUGAUAAUGACAGUACCUGGAGAAUAAGCUCCGGCUAACUCCGUGCCAGCAGCCGCGGUAAUACGGAGGGAGCUAGCGUUGUUCGGAAUUACUGGGCGUAAAGCGUGCGUAGGCGGUUAUUCAAGUCAGAGGUGAAAGCCCGGGGCUCAACCCCGGAACGGCCUUUGAAACUAGAUAACUAGAAUCUUGGAGAGGUCAGUGGAAUUCCGAGUGUAGAGGUGAAAUUCGUAGAUAUUCGGAAGAACACCAGUGGCGAAGGCGACUGACUGGACAAGUAUUGACGCUGAGGUACGAAAGCGUGGGGAGCAAACAGGAUUAGAUACCCUGGUAGUCCACGCCGUAAACGAUGAUAACUAGCUGUCCGGACACUUGGUGUUUGGGUGGCGCAGCUAACGCAUUAAGUUAUCCGCCUGGGGAGUACGGUCGCAAGAUUAAAACUCAAAAGAUAUAGGACGUGAGAGUAGUCGACGAGACACACGGAGGUAGAG
rnacentral:rRNA from 1 species